GUACUUUUAUCCUUAAUCCACAGAGCUUCCGUAGUGUGAGAUGCAGAUAAAAGGUGUUCCCUCAAGACUACUCUGUGUUCUUUGCUCAGCAUCCAUCUGACCUGAGUUUCUAGCCACAUCCCACCCAGAAGAGAAAGACUGAUUGUCAGCAGAAGGCCUCUUGUCACUCUGGACAGCGAAGGGUAUGUUGGACAACUCCCAGAAGAUCUUUUAAUUUGUUCAGGACCAUUCUAUUGCUGAGGCUAGAGAACAGAAAGAAGUUAGAAUAGAUGUACAAUACACAAGGACUCAAACCUUGGUGCUUUGCAUGGUUUUUCUUAGAUGAAAUGAAAUGUAGUAACUAGAAGCUACAGGGGCAUUGAUAUGUACCAACAUUAUGAACCAAACUGCUUUGAAGUAACAGAGAUGUCAAAUCUAUCUAUUACUCGUGGAAGACCUUCUCAUAGUUGGUACUUAGGGUGACUGAAAAUGACUUUAGGAGUAUCCAGCAAGAACUAUAUGCUGUCUUCCAUAAAUAAAAGAUACAAUUUGUUGUUCCAUUCCUUGAGAAAUAUUAAGGGUAGAUGAGCUUGAGAUAUUGCACAACAGCCUGUAAUACUGGCAGGGCUCUCUGUGGAGAGAGCCAAAUACUUGCUGUGUUUGUAAGACCAACUCCUACCAGUCCAAGAGAAUGCCUUCUGAUUUUCUGUAAUGGAUGCAAAUGUAUGCACAUAGCUGGUCUAAGACAGAUUCCCACAAUUGAAGUAUAUUUCUAAAGGUCCUAAACUAUUAAGUUAUUAAUGAACAAAUAAAGCACUGAAUCUUCUCUAUGUCCCCUUCUGCUCUUUCUGUUCAGUUCAACAAGGCAUUCUAGCUGAGGCAUUUAGCCAGAAAUAUUGUGCCUUAAGGAAAAAGUGUCAAUUUAGACUUAAAUUAAGGAUUCUAUUUUUCUGAAGGUUUUGAAAAUGGAGACACUAAAAUUGUCAGGUUGUGCUUACUUCUAUACUUCAGGUAUUCCUAGUUAAAGUACUGUAAUGUUAGCAAUAUAUCCUGUUUGUUUGGCUGAGUGAAAUGAUUUCUAAAUGCCUUUCAGAGGUGUUAUCAUCUUUACAAUGACUAUUAAUUGAAAAGCAAUUAAAAAAAAAAAAAAA